rnacentral:rRNA from 1 species
UGGGGGAUAUUGCACAAUGGGCGAAAGCCUGAUGCAGCGACGCCGCGUGGGGGAUGAAGGCCUUCGGGUUGUAAACUUCUUUUGCUCUGAACAAGGCGCACCAUGGGGUGUGUUGAGUGUAGGGGUUGAUUAGCGCCGGCUAACUACGUGCCAGCAGCCGCGGUAAUACGUAGGGCGCGAGCGUUGUCCGGAAUUAUUGGGCGUAAAGGGCUUGUAGGUGGCUGGUUGCGUCUGUCGUGAAAGCUCAUGGCUUAACUGUGGGUUUGCGGUGGGUACGGGCUGGCUUGAGUGCAGUAGGGGAGGCUGGAAUUCCUGGUGUAGCGGUGGAAUGCGCAGAUAUCAGGAGGAAUACCGGUGGCGAAGGCGGGUCUCUGGGCUGUUACUGACACUGAGGAGCGAAAGCAUGGUGAGCGAACAGG